UAGAAUAAUGUAGGUAAGGGAAGUCGGCAAAUUAGAUCCGUAACUUCGGGAUAAGGAUUGGCUCUGAAGAUUGAGAUGUGUCGGGCUUGUUUGGGAAGUGUUGCUAACUGUACUGCUAAAGUAUCUGAUUAAUUAUCUUUACGGGUAGUGAAAGGAUAUGAUUACGCGAUACUGUAAUACGGAACUCUCAAGCUAUGCUGUAUACAUAACAUGGGAAUAUAGGAUUCACGUUUUAUAUUCUCGUAUGCAGUUUUCAACGACCAUCAACAAACAAUCAAUUCAGAACUGGCACGGACAAGGGGAAUCCGACUGUCUAAUUAAACAAAGCAUUGUGAUGGCUCUCACGGGUGUUGACACAAUGUGAUUUCUGCCCAGUGCCCUGAAUGUCAAUGUGAAGAAAUUCAAGAAAGCGCGGGUAAACGGCGGGGGUAUACGUAUGACUGGCUUCUGGUAGCCAAAUGCCGAGUCCAACGCACAAAUUAUUGGAAAAUCGUGAAAACACGUCGUGUGCGUGAAUGCCUGCAUGGAUUUUCACGUGGGUACCACCACGUGAAAGCUA
rnacentral:rRNA from 1 species